CUACGGGGGGCACCAGUGGGGAAUAUUGCACAAUGGAGGAAACUCUGAUGCAGCAACGCCGCGUGGAGGAUGACACUUUUCGGAGCGUAAACUCCUUUUAUAUAGGAAGAAGAUGACGGUACUAUAUGAAUAAGCGCCGGCUAACUCCGUGCCAGCAGCCGCGGUAAUACGGAGGGCGCAAGCGUUACUCAGAAUCACUGGGCGUAAAGAGCGUGUAGGCGGAUUAAAAAGUCAGAAGUGAAAUCCUAUAGCUUAACUAUAGAACUGCUUCUGAAACUCUUAAUCUAGAAUAUGGGAGAGGUAGAUGGAAUUUCUGGUGUAGGGGUAAAAUCCGUAGAGAUCAGAAGGAAUACCGAUUGCGAAGGCGAUCUACUAGAACAUUAUUGACGCUGAGACGCGAAAGCGUGGGGAGCAAACAGGAUUAGAUACCCGUGUAGUC
rnacentral:rRNA from 1 species